CCUACGGGUGGCAGCAGUGAGGAAUAUUGGUCAAUGGACGAGAGUCUGAACCAGCCAAGUAGCGUGAAGGAUGACUGCCCUAUGGGUUGUAAACUUCUUUUAUAUGGGAAUAAAAUGUUCCACGUGUGGGAUUUUGUAUGUACCAUAUGAAUAAGGAUCGGCUAACUCCGUGCCAGCAGCCGCGGUAAUACGGAGGAUCCGAGCGUUAUCCGGAUUUAUUGGGUUUAAAGGGAGCGUAGGUGGAUUGUUAAGUCAGUUGUGAAAGUUUGCGGCUCAACCGUAAAAUUGCAGUUGAAACUGGCAGUCUUGAGUACAGUAGAGGUGGGCGGAAUUCGUGGUGUAGCGGUGAAAUGCUUAGAUAUCACGAAGAACUCCGAUUGCGAAGGCAGUUCACUGGACUGCCACUGACAUUGAUGCUCGAAAGUGUGGGUAUCAAACAGGAUUAGAUACCCGGGUAGUC
rnacentral:rRNA from 1 species